GGCGCGCGCCCGUGCCCGGCACCCGCCCGCGCCGCCGCGCCGCUCCGGAGCCCGCUGCGGUCACGCUGCGCCCGGCGCCGCAGGGUGGGCGGCGAGGCACUCACGAGGGGGACGCUGAGGGCUUCCGCGCGGGCCACCCGGGUCAAGCGCGCUCCGCCGGGAAACUUCUGCGGGCGCCGGGCUGAAGCUCCGGGCAGGGCUGGGAAGGAAAGUGUUCUUGAAGUCAUUACUUACUGAGAAAAGAAUCACUAUCCAAGAUGAAAAAUCAGGAACUUCAACAACAGCUCCUUUAUUUCCAUUUCUACUUCUGUUGGAAAUACCAAAAUAUUUGCAGACUGGAUCCAAAUCAGGAGCCCAGAUGAACUUAAAGAAGCGAGCAUGGGAUUCUUAGUUUUUCAAGAUCCGUACACACGAAGCCUUUAAUCAGCAUCAACUCCAGUGUCCGUUUUCUCUGGUUUUGUGAAGACUGCACAAAACUCUCAUGAUGGAGAACCAAAGGACUUAGUUACCUGUUUCAGUGUCAUCUAAAGUCAACUGAAAAGUGAAGCAGGCAGUAAUACAGCCAUGGAAAGAAAUUCAAGUUUAUGGAAGAACCUAAUAGAUGAACACCCAGUCUGCACAACCUGGAAGCAAGAGGCCGAAGGAGCCAUUUAUCAUCUUGCCAGUAUUUUAUUUGUAGUAGGUUUCAUGGGUGGCAGUGGAUUCUUCGGGCUCCUUUAUGUCUUCAGUUUGCUGGGGUUGGGUUUUCUCUGUUCUGCUGUCUGGGCUUGGGUAGAUGUCUGUGCAGCUGACAUAUUUUCCUGGAAUUUUGUACUGUUUGUCAUCUGCUUCAUGCAAUUUGUUCAUAUUGCAUAUCAAGUUCGCAGCAUAACCUUUGCCCGAGAAUUCCAAGUGUUGUACAGCUCCCUUUUCCAGCCCCUGGGGAUCUCUUUGCCUGUCUUCAGAACGAUUGCUUUGAGCUCUGAAGUGGUUACUUUGGAAAAGGAACACUGUUAUGCCAUGCAGGGGAAAACUUCCAUUGAUAAACUCUCCUUGCUUGUUUCAGGAAGGAUCAGAGUGACAGUUGAUGGCGAAUUUCUGCAUUACAUUUUCCCCCUUCAGUUCCUGGAUUCUCCUGAGUGGGAUUCACUGAGACCCACAGAGGAAGGCAUUUUUCAGGUAACCCUCACUGCAGAAACUGAUUGUCGAUAUGUGUCUUGGAGGAGAAAGAAAUUAUAUCUGCUCUUUGCUCAGCAUCGCUACAUCUCCCGCCUUUUUUCAGUGCUAAUUGGCAGUGACAUUGCAGAUAAACUCUAUGCCUUGAAUGACAGGGUAUAUAUAGGAAAAAGAUAUCACUAUGAUAUUCGGCUACCCAACUUCUAUCAAAUGUCAACUCCAGAAAUACGCAGAUCACCCCUGACACAACAUUUUCAGAAUUCCAGACGAUACUGUGAUAAAUGACAUCAAAGUCUGAAAUUUAUAAGUAUAAAAAAAGACUCUCUCUUCAUCAUUCCCCAGUGAAAUAGCAAAAUACAAAAAAAGAGCUCCCUAAUGUUUUUAUAAAUCAAAUUCAGAAGCGAGAUGCCAUUGCCAACUGUUUUAUUCCUUUCAACAACUGCAUUGUGAAU
rnacentral:lncRNA from 1 species